UGGGGAAUUUUGCGCAAUGGGGGAAACCCUGACGCAGCAACGCCGCGUGAGUGAUGAAGGCCUUCGGGUCGUAAAGCUCUGUCAGAGGGGAAGAAAUGCAGGGGUGCUAAUAUCAUCUUUGCUUGACGGUACCCUCAAAGGAAGCACCGGCUAACUCCGUGCCAGCAGCCGCGGUAAUACGGAGGGUGCGAGCGUUGUUCGGAAUUAUUGGGCGUAAAGCGCGUGUAGGCGGUUUGGUAAGUCUGAUGUGAAAGCCCCGGGCUCAACCUGGGAAGUGCAUUGGAAACGGGCGGACUAGAAGAAGGGAGAGGGUAGUGGAAUGCCGAGGGUAGGAGUGAAAUCCGUAGAUAGUAGGAGGAGCACCGGUGGCGAAGGGGGCUACCUGGACAGAUAUUGACGCUGAGACG
rnacentral:rRNA from 1 species